UAAUGCUGGCUUUGUAAUUUCAUAAUCAAAAGUAUGCUUUUGUUUCUAACCAAAACCAUUUUUUUCCCUUUACAGAUACGUCAAGCAUCUUUUCUUACAUCUAAAUGGUGGGACAACCUCCUAGACCUUAUAUGUGAAUGUGGCCAUGCAAAGUGUGUGACAUUUCAUUAUCUACCCGGUAUGAAUUGUUAAAACAUUUUAGGCUGAAACAUUUCCACUAUGGUCGCAAUUGCCGGUAUCCCUGUCUAUAUGCAGAUUGCCCAUGUACAUUCACAAGUUGGAAGAAUCUUUUGAGUCACACAUAUCAAACACACAGGAAGUUAACAGCAGCAAAUGUUCAGUUAACUACAUUCUUUUGUCAGACGUGUGCAUGUAAGGAAAUUUUAACUGAAAAGGAAUACUUUGCUCAUGUAAAUCAACAUCUUAGGCAGUAUGAAACCGUAACUUGUAUGUUUGAAGGAUGUAAGUUUGAGACAAACAUAUAUGGAACAUUUCACUCGCAUAAAAAUCGUAAACAUAAUCCCUACACUCUAAACGAUUUUAAGGCAGGUAUUGUUAAACUCGCUGCUCAGUCAGACGAAUCUGGUAGUACUGUAGAUGAAAGCCCCUCAUCUUCUGCGGACAUAGAUUUUGUACCUCCGUUAGAUGCAGAUAGUGAAAUAGAUACUUCAGAUGACCUGCCGAAAUUAGUAGAACAAAAAAUAGCUGCAGUUUUGCUGAAGUUGGAAAACAUUUUUCAUGUGCCAUCUACAGCUAUUGAUGAACUACUAGAUGAACUACACUUCCUCUUAAGUACUGUGUCUGUGCCUGUAACUUGUAGCAGUCUUUCAGAUUUUUUAAAAAACAAAAACCUUGAAGUUGAUAGCUUAAUUAUUAAGGAACUAGCUGAUGUACUGUGUAAAUCUAACCCUUUAGUAAAAUCAAUAGGGAAAGAUGGUCCCCUUUCUACAACUUAUAAGAGAAAAGAGUACUUUAAGGAUUUGUUAAAUAUUGUUGAGCCAGUGGAGUUUAUUCUGGACCAAAAAAAGAGCAGGACAUUUCAGUAUAUCCCAUUACUGCAGUCUUUACAGCAGCUACUUGAUUGUACUGCAGUGUUAAACGGUAUUAUCAGUAGCCACAGAACACAGGAAACUACAGACAAGUUAGAUAAUCAGCAGUAUUGCUCUAUAAGAGACGGUUUGUAUUUUAAGGACAACACUUUCCUGUCAGGUGAUGAGUUGCGAAUUUGUUUAACUUUGUACAUCGAUGAUUUUGAGUUAUGUAAUCCCCUGGGUACAUCGCGAAAAAAACACAAAUUGUGUAGUGUGUACUGGAUUCUGAAUAACUUGCCACCAGGCUCUCAUUCAGCACUGUCUUCCAUUUAUUUAACGGUUUUGUGCAAAAGUGACGAUGUAAAGGUAUAUGGCUAUGGAAAAAUUCUAGAGCCACUUUUACAAGACCUUUGUACUUUAGAAGAGCAUGGUGUUUUCAGCUCAAAACUUGGGAAGUUUGUCAAAGGAACAGUCCAUAGUGUUGUAGCGGACAAUUUGGGAGCCCACGGAUUGGCUGGUUUUGUAGAGAGCUUCUCUGGCCAGUAUAUUUGUCGAUUUUGUACUGCUCAGAAAGUAGAUAUUCAAACAAGGGAUGUUCAUUCAGGUGCUUUUUUGCUUCGAACAAAAGAAAUACAUGAAGCACAUGUAAAGUCUGCACAGGAAACUGACACAAAUUGCUUUGGUGUGAAGAGAGCGUGUGUUUUAACAGAAAAACUUCAACAUUUUCACGUUAACACAGGCUAUCCCCCAGAUAUAGUGCAUGACUUAUUUGAGGGUAUUGUCCCUUCUGAACUGGCACUAUGUUUCAGUGUUCUCAUCUCUAAGAAGUAUUUCAGUCUUGAAUGUCUUAACACACGAAUCGUCAAAUUUCCCUAUAAGUGGAGUGACAAAAAAAAUAGAUCUCAAGUUAUACCAAACAGCUAUUCAUGUAAGAAGACAAUAGGUGGCAACGCCCAUGAGAAUUGGAAUCUAAUUCGAUUGCUUCCAUUUCUAGUAGGAGACUUGAUUCCAGAGGAUGAGCUUGCUUGGCAAGUGAUAUUAGACCUGAAGGAAAUUGUAGAAUUAGCUGUGGCACCAGUUCACACUGAUGAGACAAUUGCUUAUCUUGAUGUCAAAGUGUCUGAACACAGACAGAGACUACUCGAGCUUAACCCGGACGUAAAGCUUUUACCUAAACACCACUAUCUUGAGCAUUACCCGCACCUGAUUAAGUGUUUUGGGCCUCAUCUAGGUUUAUGGACGAUGCGAUUUGAAGCUAAACAUAGCUUUUUUAAACAAGUAGCUCGACACACAAAUAAUUUCAGGAACAUUGCACUCACAUUGGCAGCCAAACACCAGCAAUUCAUCAGUUACCACAUAUAUUCAUCCACACUCAAUACAUCAAAUUUGGAAGUUUCAAAUGUCUCUACAGUCCAGGUUGAUGUUCUGAAUAAGGAAGUUGUGUUGGCUCUCAGGCAGAAGUAUCCAAAUAUCAGUCAAGUUCACCUUGCAAAAAGUGUCACCACUAGAGGAAUUAACUACAAAAAUGGAAUGUUAAUUGCAUGUGGUUCAACUGCUGGAAUGCCAGAAUUUGCAGAAAUUCUGCAAAUGUGCAUAAGGGGAGAUGAGCUGAGUUUCAUUGUGCGUUUAUUGUGUGCAUGGUAUAGAGACCACUUCAGAUCUUUUGAGUUGACUUCUUCACCAGGUAAAGAGGUUGCCCUGGUUCAGCUUGAAGAACUGACAGACUGCUAUCCACUUGUGGCCUAUACAGUUUGUUCCAAACGUAUGGUAACCCUGAAGAGACACAUCGUCAUCAAAGAUUAAAAAAUCAGGAUGGCAGGACCAGUUAGCUUCAGAGUCCUGUUUGGAAGUGAAGAUGAUGCAAGAAAACUAACCAUUAAAUCCGGAAUACCGUCUUCUGUGGAUGAAUUGUCUUUUGAAAUUAAGACCUUCUUUGGAGUAACAGAGCAGUUUAGGCUUCAAUACAAAGACGUAGACUUUGGAAACGAAUUCAUGAACCUCUUAUCAAUUUCUGAUAUUCAAGAUCGCAGUACUUUGAAAGUGGUGUACUUACCUUGUGAGGCUACCACCUCCACAAUAUCCUCAGCUCCAUCCACUAAAGAUAACUGCUCCACAAUCCCAGUUACUCCCUCCAAUAUAUCUUGCAGCUCCUCAUCACAAGAACCAAGUGAUUCAGCAUCUGCUGACUCCUGUAGCAGCAACGAUACUGUCAUAUUGUCAUCUCCUGACUCCCGGUCUUGCACUUGGCCUAAAGAUUUUGUAGUGCCACGAUUUUCAUAUUGUGCCGAGAUGCAGCUCCAGAAGGGAAAUGAUGAAUUCAAUGCAAGUGGAACUCUCCUAUCUCUCACGCCCAAACUCAGAUCUGAUAUUCUUGAAGGCAUUGCAGAAGAAAUAAUCAAGUAUACAGCAUAUCCAAAGGACAAUCAGUUUGAAAAAGUUGCUGAGGCCUUGAUAAAAACCCAUCCAUGUUUGCGUGAGAAAGGAACUCGGACUGGGUGUUGUGGAUGGAAGCACUAUAUUAAGAUAAAGAUGAUGAACUUCCGAACCAAGCUUGGCCGAGCUGGACACCCAGAAGUCACAGUCAACUCACUUAAAAACAAACAGAAAGGCCAGGGAAAACCAGCUGCAAACAUAAAAAAGCCACGGAGGGCAGAGGUUAAUUUCUGUCCAAACCAUCCGAGAGGUGAAACCAAUGACAGCCUGGAGGUGGAAAGGGUUGCUCUAUUGACCGAGGUUAAAAAAAAGAAUAACGAGACCAUUAUCAAGGAAAAGAUGCAGCGUACCUUCUCAUACCGACGACAAGAAAUUCUUCAGGAGCCAAUGAUUACAGAGGUCCGAAACAGAUGGCCAGCAUUGUUUGAAGUUGAAGAAGUCAACAUGGAGUUCAUGCGUAUAACAACUGUUCCGCUGAUAUCAAAAUUCAUUGGUCAACUGGACAAAUACACUGAUGGCCUGAUGAAGGUGUUCCGUCACAAAGGAGGAUGUGCAGGACAGAAAAUCCGCACCAUAAUGGCAUUGACAACUAAAAAUGAAGACAUAAACACCAGGCGUGAUUGUAUCCUGAGGUGCCUAAGUGUCUACCUCAACGAAGACAUUGAGACACUUGUCAAAGAAUAUGUGGACACUGAAAGUGUGGAGGCUGAGUCUCUCAUUGCACAGACAACAAUGGGCAUCUAUGUAAUUCGAGCGGAGGGCACUGGUCCUGAAGAAGAACCUUCAGAUGUUGGUGUUGUUCUUGAAGGAGUUGAAGUUCUGCAAAACCUGCCAAGUGUCACACUUGGAUGUGUAAUGCUUUUUGGACUAAUUUAUGCCCUUAACUUAAACUAUCCAAAGGACCUCAAGUGCACAUUUGAAGCAUUUCAGAAAAUCCUGAUGGAACUGGAUACAACCAAGCUGUCGCCAAAAGUUCAGGGACUGAAAAUUAAGAUGCUUCAGUGAAUCAUUGAGAGAUAUGCUGAUAUUUACAUUUUUCCCCUUGACUUGCACUUUUUCUACUCGUUAGAACCACCACCCUAUUUUUCCAAAUUAUUGCAUGUCACAGAUUUGUGAAAAUGUUUGUGUAAUGUUAACAAGUGUUGUCAUUGAAUCAGAUUUGAUCUGAUUGUUAUGUCUACCUCAAGUUUUGCAGUUUUUUUAAGCACAGUUCUUGAGGAAAAAGUACUAUGCCUGCAGUCUGUUAAAAUCCUUUGCAUUUAUUUGUUAUAGGAUGAUUGUGGCAAUAAUAAUAAGUAGUGCAAUUAACCUUGGUUUGUUAGGUAAAGAAUGAAAGUACUUUUUUUUUUUUUUUUUUUUUUGAGGUUGCACACAACACAGUAUAAGUGAGCACAUACUGUCUUGCUAGCUCCUCUUUUUGCUGCCUUUUGUGCUUGUUAUUUCUAAAAUAAAAAUGUGAAAUGAAGUGACCCUGUGGACGUUCUUUUUUGUGUUGUAUAUUGUGAUUGGGAGGGGAAAUAGUGAUGAAUAAGUAAAUACAAAUUUAUAAAUAUGAUUUUAAAAUACAUUGGGUUUAUUAAUACAAAUUACUUAAAUGUGAUGCAUAUUAAGUAAAAUAGGUUUAUUACAUAAAAACACAUAAACCCAUUUCUUAUU